rnacentral:rRNA from 1 species
CGGCGGACGGGUGAGUAACACGUGGAUAACCUACCUAUAAGACUGGGAUAACUUCGGGAAACCGGAGCUAAUACCGGAUAAUAUAUUGAACCGCAUGGUUCAAUAGUGAAAGACGGUUUUGCUGUCACUUAUAGAUGGAUCCGCGCCGCAUUAGCUAGUUGGUAAGGUAACGGCUUACCAAGGCAACGAUGCGUAGCCGACCUGAGAGGGUGACCGGCCACACUGUAACUGAGACACGGUCCAG